GGUGGGUAUGGUGGUGUGGGCCUGUAGUUCCAGCUACUUGGCAGGCUGAAGCAUGGGGAUCCUUGAGCCCAGGAAUUCUAGGUUAUAGUGUGCUAUGCCAACUGGGUGUCCAUACUAACUUUGGCAUCAGUAUGGUAACUGGGAGCAGAGGACCAUCAGGUUGCCUAAGGAGUUGUGAACUGGCCCAGCAGGUCAAAACUUCUGUGGUAUCAUGCCUGUGAAUAGUGCUCUAGCCUGGGAAAUUUAGUGAGAACUCAUCUCUU
rnacentral:SRP_RNA from 1 species